rnacentral:rRNA from 1 species
GGUGGAUGCCCUGGCAGUCAGAGGCGAUGAAGGGCGUGCUAAUCUGCGAUAAGCGCCGGUAAGGUGAUAUGAACCGUUAUAACCGGCGAUACCCGAAUGGGGAAACCCAGUGUGAUUCGUCACACUAUCAUUAACUGAAUCCAUAGGUUAAUGAGGCGAACCGGGGGAACUGAAACAUCUAAGUACCCCGAGGAAAAGAAAUCAACCGAGAUUCCCCCAGUAGCGGCGAGCGAACGGGGAGGAGCCCAGAGCCUGAAUCAGCAUGUGUGUUAGUGGAAGCGUCUGGAAAGGCGCGCGAUACAGGGUGACAGCCCCGUACACAAAAGCGCAUGUGCUGUGAGCUCGAUGAGUAGGGCGGGACACGUGGUAUCCUGUCUGAAUAUGGGGGGACCAUCCUCCAAGGCUAAAUACUCCUGACUGACCGAUAGUGAACCAGUACCGUGAGGGAAAGGCGAAAAGAACCCCGGCGAGGGGAGUGAAAAAGAACCUGAAACCGUGU